UCUUAUGGAUGAUAAAGAAAGUGGUUUCUUGAGAUGGAAUCUACUCCUGGUGAAGAUGGUGUGAA
rnacentral:pre_miRNA from 1 species